rnacentral:tRNA from 2 species
GUGGGUGUUGUAAUCAGUCUUCCAAACUGAUUACGCGGGUUCGAUUCCCGUCGCCCGCUCCA